rnacentral:rRNA from 2 species
UUUGAUCCUGGCUCAGAAUGAACGCGGGCGGGUGCCUAAUACAUGCAAGUCGAACGAACUCUGGUAUUGAUUGGUGCUUGCAUCAUGAUUUACAUUUGAGUGAGUGGCGAACUGGUGAGUAACACGUGGGAAACCUGCCCAGAAGCGGGGGAUAACACCUGGAAACAGAUGCUAAUACCGCAUAACAACUUGGACCGCAUGGUCCGAGCUUGAAAGAUGGCUUCGGCUAUCACUUUUGGAUGGUCCCGCGGCGUAUUAGCUAGAUGGUGGGGUAACGGCUCACCAUGGCAAUGAUACGUAGCCGACCUGAGAGGGUAAUCGGCCACAUUGGGACUGAGACACGGCCCAAACUCCUACGGGAGGCAGCAGUAGGGAAUCUUCCACAAUGGACGAAAGUCUGAUGGAGCAACGCCGCGUGAGUGAAGAAGGGUUUCGGCUCGUAAAACUCUGUUGUUAAAGAAGAACAUAUCUGAGAGUAACUGUUCAGGUAUUGACGGUAUUUAACCAGAAAGCCACGGCUAACUACGUGCCAGCAGCCGCGGUAAUACGUAGGUGGCAAGCGUUGUCCGGAUUUAUUGGGCGUAAAGCGAGCGCAGGCGGUUUUUUAAGUCUGAUGUGAAAGCCUUCGGCUCAACCGAAGAAGUGCAUCGGAAACUGGGAAACUUGAGUGCAGAAGAGGACAGUGGAACUCCAUGUGUAGCGGUGAAAUGCGUAGAUAUAUGGAAGAACACCAGUGGCGAAGGCGGCUGUCUGGUCUGUAACUGACGCUGAGGCUCGAAAGUAUGGGUAGCAAACAGGAUUAGAUACCCUGGUAGUCCAUACCGUAAACGAUGAAUGCUAAGUGUUGGAGGGUUUCCGCCCUUCAGUGCUGCAGCUAACGCAUUAAGCAUUCCGCCUGGGGAGUACGGCCGCAAGGCUGAAACUCAAAGGAAUUGACGGGGGCCCGCACAAGCGGUGGAGCAUGUGGUUUAAUUCGAAGCUACGCGAAGAACCUUACCAGGUCUUGACAUACUAUGCAAAUCUAAGAGAUUAGACGUUCCCUUCGGGGACAUGGAUACAGGUGGUGCAUGGUUGUCGUCAGCUCGUGUCGUGAGAUGUUGGGUUAAGUCCCGCAACGAGCGCAACCCUUAUUAUCAGUUGCCAGCAUUAAGUUGGGCACUCUGGUGAGACUGCCGGUGACAAACCGGAGGAAGGUGGGGAUGACGUCAAAUCAUCAUGCCCCUUAUGACCUGGGCUACACACGUGCUACAAUGGAUGGUACAACGAGUUGCGAACUCGCGAGAGUAAGCUAAUCUCUUAAAGCCAUUCUCAGUUCGGAUUGUAGGCUGCAACUCGCCUACAUGAAGUCGGAAUCGCUAGUAAUCGCGGAUCAGCAUGCCGCGGUGAAUACGUUCCCGGGCCUUGUACACCCGCCCGUCACGCCAUGAGAGUUUAUAACACCCAAAGUCGGUGGGGGUAACCUUUUUAGGAACCAGCCGCCU